AUUGAACGCUGGCGGCAUGCCUCACACAUGCAAGUCGAACGGCAGCACGGGAGCAAUCCUGGUGGCGAGUGGCGAACGGGUGAGUAAAGUAUCGGAACGUGCCCAGUCGUGGGGGAUAACGUAGCGAAAGUUACGCUAAUACCGCCUACGAUCUAUGGAUGAAAGCGGGGGAUCGCAAGACCUCGAGCGAUUGGAGCGGCCGAUAUCAGAUUAGGUAGUUGGUGGGGUAAAGGCUCACCAAGCCGACGAUCUGUAGCUGGUCUGAGAGGACGACCAGCCACACUGGGACUGAGACACGGCCCAGACUCCUACGGGAGGCAGCAGUGGGGAAUUUUGGACAAUGGGCGAAAGCCUGAUCCAGCCAUGCCGCGUGCAGGAUGAAGGCCUUCGGGUUGUAAACUGCUUUUGUACGGAACGAAAAGGUUUGGCCUAAUAAGCUGAGCUCAUGACGGUACCGUAAGAAUAAGCACCGGCUAACUACGUGCCAGCAGCCGCGGUAA
rnacentral:rRNA from 1 species